rnacentral:lncRNA from 1 species
UGAAUGGGUAUUUUUAAUACUUCUUUCUCUGGGAGGCUGAUGUAGAUCUGGGAGCAGUGGUUUCUCUAGGAAAGGCAAUCCAUGACUGGGGUAGGGCAAAAGGGAGAAUUACUUUUCACUCUCUACUCUUUUGUACCCUCUCUAAUUGUGUGUAGGAAUUGCUGUUUUAAAAAAGCUUUCUCAAGAACAAAGAACAUACUAGAAGGUCAAAUAGUGCAGGCCUGUGGGGAGCAGGCGCUACACCAGCGAGCUUAGUAUCUGAUCUGACCAGACACCCAAAGGUCUGGCCAGGAAGAUGCCGAUACCUAAUGAACAAAGAAGGAAG